CUUGCUUCAGAUUUGGCAAACUUACAUGUUCCCAGGCUUAUGAAAUAUAAUUUACAUUUACAAAAGGGAGAGGCUUCAUUACACUGGAAAUUUGUUUUAAAUAAUGCCGAAGUGAACCACUGAUGGAACAGCCAGCAUCAAAAUCCAUGGUGGCUCCCACGGAUCCGCAGGAUCUACCAGGCGGCACAGAUAAGCAGGAAUUUAGGUUUUGUUGAAAGAACCCAACAAAGAGAGAAGGCCUCUAAGGGAAAACUUCCUGCCCUCCUUCCUGAGAUCAGAGAGACGAGUUUUCAGGAAUCCCUCCCCAGGGUUUGCCUGUGUACUCUGUGCAUGGUGGAAGUGGAGAAGAGUGAUCCAGCUUCCUUCAGUGGGACCCUCCUCACCCAUCCUGAUGGGUAGAUACAAGAUGCCGCCAUAGGGGCUGCCCUCGGACAGAGCCAAGGAGAACAUUGACUCAUUCGUCGUGUGCAGACCUUUGCGGAAGAUGCCGAUGUGCUCAAGGCAUGCUCCCUCAUGUGAGGGGUGACAUCACUGCCUAAUUUACACUCAUGCCAGGCCUAAAUGACCUCAUCACAGAAAGGCGAUUGUCUUGGCUCCUACUACAUGGCACAAUUCUUUUCCUGAACAUUCCUGAUCAUACUCUGUGCACUCCCUCAUCCCUGCCUUUGUUAUUUCCCCCUACCCCUGGAACACAGUUUGACAAACAUCAAUUCCAUUUUCUUGUGAAGGCAAGUUAAUUUUCAGACUCUCAGUGUCUUCAUCUCUAAAACGAAGGGUUAUCUGUGCUACUGCUGCUGCUGCUGCUGCUGCUGCUGCUGCUGCUGCUGCUGCUGCUGCUGUUUUCCUCAUGGGUGUCUGGAGGGGAGCUGAAAUGAAAGGGUGGAGGUAUCUGGAUCCCAGGGCUGCUUCCUUUUAUCUGCCCUACAUAUUGCUAAAAUCGCUUUUGAAAAAUAGGCCCCACUGCUUUUAAAUUACUGAACUAGAUAGUAUCGCAGGCUUCUUUGGCUAUAAAAUUCUGUGAUUCUAGCAUUCCCGGGAGUGAGGAUUCAAACUGACCUGCAAGGAUAAUCCUAAGGCAUUCAGCCUUCAAAGCCCUCAGCGCUGCCUCCCUAACCCUUAUGGGAACUUCCAUGGGACAUCCAGGGUCAUCUGACAUCUGAUUUCAUUCUAGCUUGCAGCCUUAUCUUUUCAAAUGGCUUGACAAUGUAGUCAAACUAGACCCUCUCUAAAUUUCAAACCAACUGAUACUUUCUGCUCUAGGUCUUUGUUGAUACUAUACUCUGCUCAAAAUCAUAUGCAUCCUACAAGAUUCAUCUCAAAAACUAAAUAUUAUAUCUACCACACUUACCGUAUUUUGCUAUGUGGUAUUCUUGUUUGUUUGUUUUCUGAGUGAACAAUUCAGGAGCUGUGAGUACAUUCACAGCCUUAUGCAACCAUCACCACUACCUAAUUCCGGAACAUUUUCAUCACCCCACAAAGAAAUCCUGGGCCCAUUAGUAAUCACUUCCCAUUCUCCCCUGUACCCCGCCUCUGGCCACCACUAAUCUACUUUCUGUCUCUGUGAAUUUGUCUAUUUUGGACAUUUCAUAUAAAUGGAAUUAUACAAUGUGUGACCAUGUGUAAGGAUUUUCUCAC
rnacentral:lncRNA from 10 species